GGUCAACAGUGAUCACUGACUGUUUUUAGGAGCUUUUUGAGAUUAAAUAGAAGAAAAUACAAAGCAUUAAACAUGUUAACAACACAAAACCCAGACUACUUUAGGCCCGGAAGUAGGAUUCGUCGCGUCAGCUGUGUUAUCUGCUUCGUUUUUGUGGGUCUGACCCUCAAAUCCUUACUGAGUCAUAUUAAUUCUGCACAUAGCCAUAGUCCAGAUUUCCGUGUAGUUUGUGGCAUAGAUGGAUGUGUCAAAGAAUAUCGUGUUUACAAUUAUCACAUUCGUCGAACACACUCUGACCACCUUGGCAAUGGACUAUGCAGUGGAUCGACUAUGACACAAAAAUCUGUAAGUUCUAGGAGGGAACCCUCAUCAUUGGUGAGAGGUCUGAGUAACAUGUGGGCCUACAGGACUGAUCCAGUGGUCGAAAACCAGCCAACAAGCCAGCCAACAAUGGAUGCGGCUGUAGACACCAGAUUGAACUCAGGAGAAGAUGCAGUGAUUGAGCAAAACGCAAUACAGCAUGAUCCAGACAGUGUGUGCCCGUGUUGUGUCAAACUUGACAGCAGUUUUAUUACACUUUAGUGUCAAUAAAUACAUUUCUUAAACUGA